GGGCCCGCACAAGCGGUGGAGUAUGUGGUUUAAUUCGACGCAACGCGCAGAACCUUACCCAGGCUUGACAUCCUCGGAACCUGAUGGAAACAUCGGGGUGUCCCCUCACGGGGAAGCCGAGUGACAGGUGCUGCAUGGCUGUCGUCAGCUCGUGUCGUGAGAUGUUCGGUUAAGUCCGGCAACGAGCGCAACCCCUGUCGUUAGUUGCCAUCAAUUCGGUUGGGCACUCUAGCGAGACUCCCGGUGUUAAGCCGGCGGAAGAUGGGGAUGACGUCAAGUCCUCAUGGCCCUUAUGUCUGGGGCUACACACGUACUACAAUGCUACGGACAAAGGGCUGCAAGUUCGCGAGGACAAGCAAAUCCCAUAAACCGUGGCUCAGUUCAGAUCGUAGGCUGCAACUCGCCUACGUGAAGGAGGAAUCGCUAGUAAUCGCAGGUC
rnacentral:rRNA from 1 species